UGGGGAAUAUUGCACAAUGGGCGCAAGCCUGAUGCAGCCAUGCCGCGUGUAUGAAGAAGGCCUUCGGGUUGUAAAGUACUUUCAGCGGGGAGGAAGGGAGUAAAGUUAAUACCUUUGCUCAUUGACGUUACCCGCAGAAGAAGCACCGGCUAACUCCGUGCCAGCAGCCGCGGUAAUACGGAGGGUGCUAGCGUUAAUCGGAAUUACUGGGCGUAAAGCGCACGCAGGCGGUUUGUUAAGUCAGAUGUGAAAUCCCCGGGCUCAACCUGGGAACUGCAUCUGAUACUGGCAAGCUUGAGUCACGUAGAGGGGGGUAGAAUUCCAGGUGGAGCGGUGAAAUGCGUAGAGAUCUGGAGGAAUACCGGUGGCGAAGGCGGCCCCCUGGACGAAGACUGACGCUCAGGUGCGAAAGCGUGGGGAGCAAACAGG
rnacentral:rRNA from 1 species